CAAGAAACCCGGGCGGCCGCUCCCCGAUCCGUCGGGGGGAGGAAAGUCCGAGCUCCUCCGGGCAGGGUGCUGGGUAACGCCCAGGCGGGGCAACCCGACAGAAAGUGCCACAGAAACACACCGCCAGCGGCCCCGACGAAGUCGGGGUGCGGGCAAGGGUGAAAUCGUGAGGUAAGAGCUCACGGCUCCUCUGGCGACAGAGGAGCGGGUAAACCUCACCCGGAGCAAGGCCAAAUAGAGGGACGCAAGGCGCCCGGCCUGUCCCUGGGUCGGCUGCUUGAGCCCGGUGGCAACGCCGGGCCCAGAAGGAUGGCCGCCGCCCCGACUCGUCGGGGUACAGAACUCGGCUUAUAGGGUUUCUUGGCCC
rnacentral:RNase_P_RNA from 1 species